GCCGGGCGUGGUGGCACGUGCCUGUAAUCCCAGCUACUCAGGAGGCUGAGGCAGGAGAAUUGCUUGAACUUGGGAGGCAGAGGUUGCAGUGAGCCAAGAUAAUGCCACUGCACUCCAGCCUGGGUGACAAAGCGAGACCCUGUCUCAA
rnacentral:SRP_RNA from 1 species